rnacentral:lncRNA from 1 species
GCAUAAUAGUGAAUCAAUUCAUACUAAUUGAAAUUUAUUUCUCAAAUUACUAACCGUACUAUAGCGGGGUUAUCAUUGAGUGAAGCCGCACUAAAUGAGGUAUUCCUGUAUAUAAUUGAAUAAAAUAUUUAUAUAUAUUGACGGCAGAUCUUGCAUACAUGUGGUACCAACAUAAUGGCACAUCUCCAUACAAAAAAGCUUGCAUCUAUGAGAAGCAUCUUUGGAAACAAAGUUUCGGGAUAUAGAGAUUCUGUAGAACUGUCACUACAUUCACCAGAUUUGACUCCCAUGGAUCUUUCUUGUGGGAUUAUUUACAGAACAGGCUUAUAUGACACAACCAAUAAACUUAUGAGACUUACAAAUUCACAUCAUGAAAGCUUGAAGAGACAUAACUUCUACAAUGCUAUGUUGCACACAAAAAACUUUUUAAUAUCAUGUUUAAAUGUGUAUUGCAAUUGAUGAUGGACAUUUUGAAUCGUAUCUAUAGUAGAUUUCUUGCAUAUUUCUCACUUCUUCUUUUCCAGUAAUAGAUGAACCAUUUCC